rnacentral:rRNA from 1 species
AUUGAACGCUGGCGGCAUGCCUUACACAUGCAAGUCGAACGGCAGCAUAGGAGCUUGCUCCUGAUGGCGAGUGGCGAACGGGUGAGUAAUAUAUCGGAACGUGCCCUAGAGUGGGGGAUAACUAGUCGAAAGAUUAGCUAAUACCGCAUACGAUCUACGGAUGAAAGUGGGGGAUCGCAAGACCUCAUGCUCCUGGAGCGGCCGAUAUCUGAUUAGCUAGUUGGUGGGGUAAAAGCCUACCAAGGCGACGAUCAGUAGCAGGUCUGAGAGGACGACCAGCCACACGGGGACUGAGACACGGCACAGACUCCUACGGGAGGAAGCAGUGGGGAAUUUUGGACAAUGGGGGCAACCCUGAUCCAGCAAUGCCGCGUGAGUGAAGAAGGCCUUCGGGUUGUAAAGCUCUUUUGUCAGGGAAGAAACGGUUCUGGAUAAUACCUGGAGCCAAUGACGGUACCUGAAGAAUAAGCACCGGCUAACUACGUGCCAGCAGCCGCCGUAAAAC